UACUGUAUUUGUGGCGUGAGCUUUCGUGGGACUCCUAAACAUGUCAGUUGUGAAUAUAAAUGUCCAGGAAACCGGAAUGAAAUCUGUGGAGGUCCAAACAAAAUGUCAGUAUAUGACAUAAGGUUCCCAUUACUGUAAAUGUGGAACGUGUAUUCGUGGAAAUCCUCAACAAGUCAGGUGUCAAUAUAGAUGUCCAGGAUACCGGAAUGAAAUCUGCGGAGGCCAAAACAGUAUGUCAGUGUAUUCCAUAAGGUUACUUGCUACGAAACCAUCUCUACCAGCACAAACUAAUGCAUUGAUAACAUCAACAGAGAGUAUCAACAGCUUCACUGAACAAUAGGUUUAUAAUGAAGGAGAAGCAGACAGUGGCCCAGUAGCUGCUUAUAUCUCUGUGCCUGUUUCUGGAAUUUUUGCAGUAGCCUGUACAACAGCAUUCAUUAUCUUCAUCUGCAGAAAAAGACGAUCAGCCGAUGACAAUUAUGUCUGUCACCACAGAAAACCAGACGCUGAUAGUUGUCAUCUCUAUAGGCAUGCGACCAGUAAUUCCCACGACUUCAAUAAUGUAAAGCAUAAAGACAGUUUCAAGUACAGAACUGACGAUAUGCGGAAACCAAGUAGCAAUGCAUACACUGAAAUACCUAGUGAACUGGUAUCAGAAACAUCUGAGAAUGAACAUAACAGUGCUUCAUUUUCUCUGCGUCAUGGGCGAUGUAAAACAGUUGUAACCAAAGCUAAUGAUUCAUAUGACACUCUACAAGGUCGUUUAAAAGUAGACACAAGAAAAACGACCGACAAAUAUAAAACCGGAUAUGAUCACGUGGUCACGUGUUAAUUGAUAAC
rnacentral:misc_RNA from 1 species